GGUGCUUGUAGCUCAGUUGGUUAGAGCACCGGAUUGUGGUUCCGGGGGUCGUGGGUUCAAAUCCCAUCAUGCACCC
rnacentral:tRNA from 1 species